CGUGUAGGUGGACGGGUAAGUCAGAUGUGAAAGCCUUCUGCUUAACAGAAGAAGUGCAUUUGAAGCUGCUCGGCUAGAGUACGGGAGAGGAGAGUGGAAUUCCCGGUGUAGAGGUGAAAUUCGUAGAUAUCGGGAGGAACACCAGUGGCGAAGGCGGCUCUCUGGUCCGAUACUGACGCUGAGACGCGAAAGCGUGGGAGCAAACAGGAUUAGAUACCCUGGUAGUCCACGCCGUAAACGAUGGGCACUAGGUGUAGGAGGUAUUGACCCCUUCUGUGCCGAAGCUAACGCAUUAAGUGCCCCGCCUGGGGAGUACGGCCGCAAGGCUAAA
rnacentral:rRNA from 1 species